AGGCAGAGGCAGUUAGUUGUUAACUGAGGUGCAUUUUGAUCGAUGAUGGAGAUAUUUCCCUCAAUUCCUUGAUUUACAUCUAUUCUCUAUCUUCCUCAAUGAGCUAUUGGUACAGAAUAGGCUUGAGUUGAGUUGGACAGCACCAAACAAGGCAGAGUCACCAGCCACAUCCCUCCCUCGCUGCCGAAAACGUCCAACUCUCUGGACAACUGGAACAUUAUAGCCCAAUUGAGAGAUCCUGCAAAAGCAAGGUCGCCAGCAUGGGAUUUCCUUAUCCGGCUGAGCGAUUAAAUCCUGUCUGUACGACUUACGAUAAAAUGAAUGACAUAAAUAAAUAAAUAAACACUAGUGAAGAUGGGCCGACGAGACUUGAUUCCUGACGAGCUACUAGUCGACGCUGCCGUGCCAUUUCGUGAUGGAAAUCCAAUGGUCAGUCCUUGAGAAGAGCUGUGAAAAGGUUCUUGGAUGUGCGAGGGGGUGAUAGAAGUGACGGUAUCACACCCACAUGCUAUGUAGGAACCGGUUCGGUGACAAAAAAUGUGCUUCAGCUGGGAAAGAAGGAAAGUACCUCAUUGCGGCGCUGAGUUUUGGGGACCCGAGGAACGACAACAACCCAGGAUCACACAUCGACGGCCAUAUAUGCCUGGGGGAAAAGUGUUUUGAUGAAUAUCCCUCAUCCUUUACGUGGCCCUCCCUUCCUUCUGGCUCUGAGAGGCACAACCACCUACUCGAAUUGUCCUCGAGGACAACGAUCGUGAGCAGUGCGACGACCAUGAAUGGGAGGAGGUGGGGAUGAUGAUGAUGUGCUUUUUUGAUGAAUGGCCCUCUGCCCUCCUUCUGCCCUUCCUUCUGUCCUUUCUCCACUUUAGCCUGAUCAAGCUCAAAGUUUGGUGCCUGAAGCUUGACCAAACUCUUCAUCUGUAACUUUCUGCAGUCAUUUGAGGUUCAGUACGCGUUUUGUACGGCGUAUUGAUCUUUCAUUUUAUAUUUCACGCUCCUCCCAUGUCCUCCAUGUAAUCAUGGCCAGAACCAGCAUACCCAGCCAAGAUACACUUAGAGCCAUCUUAGCUCUGCCAACUCACACAUCGCCCACGCUAAGCCUGGCAGGUCCUUGAUCCUAGGAGGUCGGCUUGGUUGAAACUUUCUCGCGGCGCCUGGGUCUUGGCUGGCGCGAAAAUGUUGCUGCCAUUCUUCUCGCUACCAAUGGCGAUUCCUCCCGAGCGCUGGUGGCAGAGGGAAAAGGCGUGUUCGCCAACCAGGCUGAGGAAAUGGCUGCGAUUUGAAACGGUUGGUUGGCCGUUGUUGGUUUUGUUCCCUUUAUUUUUAUUUUUUUUUUCUUUUUUAAUUCUCCGUUACUUUUGACUUGUUGAUCUACCGAAAUAUCCCUUCGGGAGUUCUUGCACAACGUAAACAAAACAAAUCACCCUAAAUGGUUGAAAAUCUUGCAGUAGUCUAUGUACAGUAUUGAUGAAGCGAAGGGGGGGGGGGGAACCAGAAACUACUAUGAGGAAACGACUCGCCAAUGCCUCGUAAACGCGGACAGGAAUAAGAAGAACAAGACAAGGAAAAACUUAAUCACCGCUCUUUUAUUUGCUCGCUCGCUCGCUCGCUUUCUAUUACUUUUCGCUUCGCAAAAUCCAGUCAGUGAAUCGGAAAUGGAUAUACAUUUGAAACUGGCCCAAGUAUUAGAGCCUAGUUCCCCAUCUUCCUCCCAAGAACCAAUCCACACACGGAGAGAGUGGGGAGAAAGAGACGAAAACGAUGGGAAGGGCGAGGAGGAAAAAGAAGAAAGAAGCAGAAGAAGAAGACUAAAAGAUGGAAGUUGAAAUGCACCCUUUGGUAACUGGGUUGCGCACUUUCACCACUUCUCGAGAUUCUUUCUGGAAAAGCAGGGCAGAACUGAAAAAAAAGAAAGAAAACAAUGCCAACUUGCAGUUCGUGGGUUUCGGGGCUUUUUUUUUUUCGACUCCUUGCUGUUUCGUUUUCUUUCCGAAAUUCCUUCACUGCUUCCCCCGUUGGACGGAGAGCCUUUUGGAGCUUUUCCUUCCCUUUUCACUCGUAACUUGUAAAAAUUACUUUUGUGAAUCAGGCCAAAGGGCCAAAGACCUUCCGCUUUGAUGGUAGGUGGUUUUGUAUCCAUCCAGUUCGACUCAGUAUACCCAGAGCCCUGCCAUUCUUGAGUUCCCGAGGAAUUCUUUCGAAGAUGGUGCACCGGCUUUCCAAUGUCGCAUCCAGAACCAAGGUAUCGAGAGCCAGCGGAACAUGAAUCCAAUCGAACCCAAUCCGCUCCUUUCUGCCCCCUUCACCUUCAUUUCCGUCCCGCGAUGUCCACUCAACAGUCGAAAUAGGAAAAUUUUGAAGGGAAUCAUGAGGAAAAAUCACGUCGCGUUCGUAUCGACGCGUGUUCGUUUUGCGCAAAACUUUUAACCGUGGUUGGACACGGGCGCUCUCGUUCCCAUCCGUCCCCCGCCUCUCUUUCGUCGGCAAUCUCAACCCAUCCCAACUGCGAGAAUUUAAUCCUUAUGCCAUGCUAUAUAAUGUCCCCCCUUCCCACAUCCCAGAAAGAAGAAUAGAAUAAUAUGAAACUCCAGACGCGUUUUUCAUAUUCCCGCGCGUUUCUUUCCCAAAACCCCAAACAGAAAAAAAAGAAGAAGAAAAGAAGAAGAAGAAGAAGAAGAAGAAGAAGAAGAAGAAGAAGAAGAAGAAGAAGAAGAAGCAGAAGAAGAAGCAGAAGAAGAAGAAGAAAUAACUUUCUAUAAUAGCGUGCGUAUGGUUGUGUAGGUGGAGGCGUAGGUAGAAUGUGUGCGUGUGUGGUGGUGUUAUAUUUCGACCUGUAUACCCGGUUGUUGGAAUCGGAACUGGCCAAAAUGAGUAAGAAAUAUCUAGAAAACAUUCACGUUGGAGUGCUUGGUAUCAUGCAAUUUUUUUUUCCAUGCAUAUUUGCUCGUUGCAGAAAAAGAAAAUAAAUCCGUAGAAUAUAAAUUAAUGGGAAGUACGUGAGUAGCACAGGUAUCGUAAAGAUUCAUUUCAUGAGGCAUGUUGGAAAGGCCCUCUGGUGGUUGCAGUCACCCCUUUGUUGGAGAAGGGGUCGGACGAAGUGGUUUUGCUUCAAUCAAGGAAGGUAAAGAGGUUUGUGUGGAGGAUGUUAAUGGCGCGAUCUGCGUCUCUCUCUUCAAUUACGCAGGAUAUGUUGAUCUCACUGGCACCCUGCGAAAUCAUCUCGAUGUUGACGUUGUGCUCCCCCAGCGUCGAGAACAUGCGUCCCGCGAUGCCAACCAUGUUCUUCAUCUGCCGUCCCACGAGACUUAAAAUCGCCAUCUGCGGAAUGAUAUCCACCGUACCAUACCGACGGAGGUCCUGGAUGGCGCCUCUUAGGUCUUCGUCGAUAAUCUGGUACUCGUCCUGGCCAACGCCGUUCAGUAAUGGCAGUUCGGAAUGGAGCGCUAAGGACACGUGCACUUCGCUCGUGGAUAUUAGAUCGAUUGAGAGUCUCCAUUUAUCCAGCACAGAAAAAAUUCCUGCGAAAAACCCAUGAGAUAAUGAUCGCUUGUUCGAAUGGACAUUUAUGACGAGGAUCUUGUGUUUGGCUGUUACUGCAGUCGGUCGUUUCGGGCCCUGCUGAUCCUGUGAAAGUAUGCUGGGACUCCGCGUACGGAAGAUCUUUGGUUCAUGGCCUAGUGCUGUCUUGUUUAGUUCUGCGGGGUCUGGGAAAAUCACUGUACCCUUGCCCCUGGGUUUCAUGACAUUUUUUAUCCGGAUGGGGAUCCGUGCGCGGAUGACCUGCUCCAUAGUGAAAGGGUGGAUCACCUCAGAACCGUAGAAUGUCAAUUCUGCAGCUUCUGCGGGUGUAAUCGCCGGGAGAAGCCGUGCCGUGGGUACUUUUCGCGGAUCAGCUGUGAAAAUACCGUCUACCUCCUUCCAGACCUGAAGCUCAUGUGCGUUGAUACCCACUGCGACAAGCGCGGCGCAGAGGUCAGUAUAGCCUCGGCCGAUCUUGUCCAGCAAGCCACCAGGCACUGGCCCAAAGUAGCCUGUGAUCACGGGCACUUUACUUCCACAUGCCUCAAUCUUUUCGGCCAGCGCGACAACCAGGCGGUCAUAAAACGUCUGGUCGAGUGACUGGGUACUUGUCGCAAAAUAGAUCACGUCUGAUAGAUCGAUGUAUUCCGACUCAACACCGUGAUCCUCCAGCAAAGCUGCCAUUAUGCGACAACUUAGCUUCUCUCCAGUGCUUAUCACUUUGUCCACACAUUUUGCAGUUAUUUCCCCAAGGGUUUGAGCAGCUUCGAGGAUUUUGAGGGUGUGCGUGCAUUCAUUUUCGAUUGCAUUAAUCAAUUGUUCCUUUAGUUCUGGGUUUCGGAGAAGGUCCUGAGCAACUUGGACAUGUUCAUGUCGGACGGCAUCAACGAGGGCAACAUAAUACGUAGAUUUCAUAGUUCCCCCUGCUUCGCGAGCGGCGCGAAGUAACCGAUUGGUCGUCCCGUCCGCUUUGGAUGAGCUGCUUCUGGCUGAGCAGACGACAGCAACUCUAUGGGUU
rnacentral:sRNA from 2 species